rnacentral:rRNA from 14 species
GCCUGUGGCCAUACAACCAUGAAAGGGCCUGGUUUCUCCUGGGCUUGGAAGCUAAGCAUGAUUGGUUUUAGUUGUUACUUGAAUGGAAAAACCAACAAAUCUAAAAGUCUAAUCU